rnacentral:rRNA from 1 species
AUAUAUAGCCAUACUACUCUGAUCAUGCUCCAUCUCAUCUGAUCUUGCAAGCUAAGCAGUUGGACCUGGUUAGUGCAUAACGCCUAACUGAUGGACCUGGUUAGUGCAUAAC